rnacentral:ribozyme from 13 species
UGAAAGAGAAGAGAAGGAAAAAGGAGAAAACGAACAAACAGGAGACAAUCUCAUCUCAUUUGAUGCCUUUGGGGAUCUCCCUCCUUCUUCUCUCCCUCCUUCUUCUCUCACUCCUUCUUCUCUC